rnacentral:rRNA from 1 species
GUGUCAGCAGCCGCGGUAAUACAGAGGGCGCAAGCGUUGUUCGGAAUCAUUGGGCGUAAAGCGGGUGUAGGCGGCUUGGCAAGUCGGGUGUGAAAUCCCUGGGCUCAACCCAGGAACUGCACUCGAAACUGCCUCGCUAGAGUCCCGGAGAGGGUGGCGGAAUUCCCGGUGUAGAGGUGAAAUUCGUAGAUAUCGGGAGGAACACCAGUGGCGAAGGCGGCCACCUGGACGGUGACUGACGCUCAGACCCGAAAGCGUGGGUAGCAAACAGGAUUAGAUACCCCAGUAGUCC